AACGAACGCUGGCGGCAUGCCUAACACAUGCAAGUCGAACGAUUUCCUUCGGGUGAUAUGGUCUCACGUGUGCGGAACGCGGGGGAAUCGCGCCAUAGGUUCGGAAUAACAGCUUGUAACGGCUGCUAAUACCGGAUGAUAGCGCUAGAACAAAGCUUUAUCGACUGAGGAUGAGCGCGAGUUGGAAGAGGUAUUUGGUGGGGUAAAGGCCUAGCCAGUCGACGGUUCAUAGCUGGUCUGAGAGGAUGAUCAGCCACACUGGGACUGAGACACGGCGCAGUAUCCUACGGGAGGCAGCAGUGGGGAGUAUUAGACAAUGAGCGCGAGCGUAAUACAGCAAUGCCGCGUGAGUGAUGCAGGCCCUAGGGUUGUACAGCUCUUUUAACCGGGAAGAUACUGACUGUACCGGAAGAAUAAGCACCGGCUAACUCCGUG
rnacentral:rRNA from 1 species